rnacentral:rRNA from 1 species
UACGUAGGGGGCAAGCGUUGUCCGGAUUUAUUGGGCGUAAAGAGCGUGUAGGCGGCCAGACAGGUCCACUGUGAAAACUCGAGGCUCAACCUCGAGAGGUCGGUGGAAACCGUCUGGCUAGAGUCCGGAAGAGGAGAGUGGAAUUCCCGGUGUAGCGGUGAAAUGCGCAGAUAUCGGGAAGAACACCCGUGGCGAAAGCGGCGCACUGGACCACAACUGACGCUGAGGCGCGAAAGCUAGGGGAGCAAACAGG